rnacentral:rRNA from 1 species
GACGAACGCUGGCGGCGUGCUUAACACAUGCAAGUCGAACGGAAAGGCCCUGCUUUUGUGGGGUGCUCGAGUGGCGAACGGGUGAGUAACACGUGAGUAACCUGCCCUUGACUUUGGGAUAACUUCAGGAAACUGGGGCUAAUACCGGAUAGGAGCUCCUGCUGCAUGGUGGGGGUUGGAAAGUUUCGGCGGUUGGGGAUGGACUCGCGGCUUAUCAGCUUGUUGGUGGGGUAGUGGCUUACCAAGGCUUUGACGGGUAGCCGGCCUGAGAGGGUGACCGGCCACAUUGGGACUGAGAUACGGCCCAGACUCCUACGGGAGGCAGCAGUGGGGAAUAUUGCACAAUGGGCGGAAGUCUGAUGCAGCAACGCCGCGUGCGGGAUGACGGCCUUCGGGUUGUAAACCGCUUUCGCCUGUGGCGAAGCGUGAGUGACGGUAAUGGGUAAAGAAGAACCGGCUAACUACGUG